UAUAUUCAUGAUCAAGACAAGUUAUGUCCCUUUUCUGAAGUGAAAGUAGAAAUUCGGGAGCGGUGAUUUGGAUAUUUUCAGCUGGUUUAAGUCUAUAACUCAACUAGAAUUUUACAUUUGAUACUUGUGUUUGUCGGAUACCGUUAUGCUCUCGAUGGGUAGCUUUCAAUGAUGAUAUAUCAGUGGAUUUACGCUGUGAUCAUGAUUACAACAGGAAGAACAUGAAUGCAAAAACUUCUGAGAAAAUUAGCCGAAAAAGAAACGUACAGGUGGCAUUAAAUGUGUCCAAUGCUGCUGUCAUCACAGUUCAGAUCCAUACAGACCUGUAUCACGGACGCAGAGAGAAUCGAGUACCUAGUCCAGAUAGACAGUCCAUUACUGAAAGCCUAUGCUACACUCACCCCAUUUCUGUUGGCCCCCAUGCGAGCCCCUAGCACCCUGGCGGUGUCCAGUAGUGGUCCCUUCACUACCUCUCUAUCUCUCCUGCCUGCAUUAUUGAUAGUGACUUUUAAUGCUAUCAGGAUGUUAACCUUCUCAUGACCAAUGGCUACAUUGUCAGGAAUUGAUCUUAUUUGUAAUGAUCUGUGAAUACCGAGUGGUCGAAUUAGUGUUAACUUAUGGGGACCCUGUCAUAGGAAACGUGUUCAUAUGUAGCUGAGUCAUCAGAGAACCAAUAUGAAACAGGCAUUUUGAUUGGAUGAUUGGGACGAAGCAGUUGUUCUAUUCAGAGACCCCACCAAGCAGCUGAGUUACAGGGUGAAAGAAUAAUGGCUUCCUUGCAGGUUUCUGGAUGAAGUAUGUUUACAAAGACCACGAGCUUCAACUGAACAUGCAGAAAAUGAUGCAUGUUCUGGACAAAAUAAAAUGGCUAAGUACUCUUGUACUUUUUUCUGUGGUCGCUUAUUUAUAAUUACAUUGUGGUCCUGCGACCAAAUACCUGACUGUGAUAUCCAAUCAGUGCUUAAAGACAAAAGAGAAACAAUGAUUUGUCAGGAAGUGUAGCAUACUGGGAUUUGAUUGGAGGAUGCUAUGGUCCAAUCAGUAUUACCGUUCUGGAAGGCCUUGAUCGUGAGAUGGUGCUAUGGAAUGAUAGCUUUACAAAGACAAACAGCAUUUAAACCAACUCUAAAUUGUUAUUGUUUAUUCAGUACAGUGAGCAUCAUUCAUCUUGUAAAGUGAAAGUUUGCACCUGUAACUGUUGCAUUGCAUAUUGUGUAAAUGAUGGCAUUACCUGUAUGUACCUUGUGUAACUUUAUGAAGCAUUACAUCAUCUUUAUUUUUAGCACUAGAUUGAAACAAACCAAAGAUCUUCAUAGCUAUUACCUAUAUCAUGACAUUUUAAUCAGGUCAUCGACAAAAUCAGACACAAAAAGGGAUGUUUUGUGGUGGAAAGAGCUGCUUUUUGUUUUAUCCUAGCUUUUGGAAAGUUUAUAUUUUUGUUAAGUGUGACUGGUCAGAAUCUCAUACAUUUGUAGUAGAAGAUGGAAGUUCUUGUGUAUAAUACUCAUCCAUCACAUCAUGUUAGAGAGAGAGAGAGAGAGAGAGAGAGAGAGAGAGAGAGAGAGAGAGAGAGAGAUGGUAUGUAUAUGCAGAUGUUUUAUGUCUGUACACACUCAACCCCAGGGGAUCUAACUUACUGUGAAAUCAUUUGAUUUCAUUGGAUCAGAUUUCUGUGGUUUGAGAAAAAAUACAGUAUGUUUGUGGCAGAUGGUGUGUAACUCAACUUUUAGGUAGUUAAACAUGUAAAUUGGUAGUCUUUAAGGUAAUUCAUUAUGCAGAUUGUCAGUCUUCAAAAUAAUUUAUUAUGUAGAUUGUCAGUCUUUAAGGUAGUUCAUCAUUUCCUGUUGAUGUUAGAUUUGAUUCUGUGGGUUAAUGUCUGUGCUAAAAAAAAUCACACCAUACAAAAAUGAUUGUUUUGACAGUUGUGGAUAUAUUUUAAAUUUCACCAGACAUUUGCAGAAUUGUCUGAGGAGUCUGGAGAUUGAUUUUUGUUGAGUAUUGAUCUGAAUGAGAGGAAGUGUAGCUUGUGAGCACUUUGUCUGUCUGUCUGUGUAAGUGGAGUGUGACACAUCUUGUGUAUCUGUCUGUGUGCAUAGAAUAUGUCACAUUAAAUUCUACAAAUUUGUAAGCCGUCUCUCUGUAAGUCGGGGAGGUCAUUUUGUAUUUAGAUAAUCAGUAUUUGUCUAGUCAUGGUUGCCUGAGGACACAAUGAUGGUAUUUGUUCUUUAUAUUUUGUACGAUUAGACGUUUUAUAUCCAUGUCCUCCCUGAGUUUUUUCUGAUGUGACUUAUCUAAUUUAUUUAUUUGAAUCUUUGAUAUAAACCAAAGGUAGCGGUUGUCAUUAGAUAUAUAUCAAAGGUAGCGCUAGAAUGGCAUACAUACAAACACAUUUUAUUUUAAGAGAGAUAAAGCUUUGAUAUUGAAAUCGUAUGCUUUAAGUUAAUAUCUGUCCUUGAGGAGUGAUACUAAUGCACUAAAAUUCAUUUCUGACAAGUGACAACAAUAUUUUGUUUCAUAGCACUGACGUUUUGACUGAAAAUUGACGACGUUAUGCUAAAAACCAUCGCUGAAAAAUGACAAGAAUAAGUUAUAAUUCAUCAUUGACGAAUGACAAAAAGAAGCUAAAAUUUACCUCUGACAAAUUACAAAAAUAAGCUAAAAGUUACCUCUGACAAAUGACAAGAAUAAGCUAUACUUUAAUUCUGACAAAUGACAAGAAUAAGCUAAACUUUACCUCAGACAAGACAAUGAGAUAACAUUCGUUUCUGACAAGUGACAAAUUAUUAAAACUCGACAUUGACAGGAGAUGGCAGUGUGUUAUAUUUCAUUUUUAUCAAAGAAACUUCAUCACAUACGAUUUUGAAAACCCUCUGCAAACUUGACUUAAUUUGUAUGAACAUUUUAUUCAUCCCACCUCUGGUGUGUCCAGGGGUCCGUGUUUGCCCAACUAUCUAUUUUGUAUUGCUUGUAGGAGUUAUGAGAUUGAUCACUGUUCGUUAUCUUCACCUUGCAUUCAUGUGGUAUAUGUACAUGUACCAAGUGAUUUGCACGGUGUGAUCACGUGAUUUUGUCAUGUGAUUUAUGUCCCGUUCAGUAUUAUAGCCAAACCAGAGUUGUUUUGUCAUUGUAUGCCUGCCACAUUUAUAAUAUGUGUCCAGUUGUUUUAAAUGUGCAAAUAGUGCAUGAUGUUUGUUACAGAAAUAAAGAGAAAUGUUAUUUUGUU